GCCUUGUCCUGGGUGCAAGAGGAGCCGCAGUCUUGCUCCCCACAGAGCUCUGAGAAGCCUGAACCAAGAUCUUGAUCAACAGAGAGAAGACACAGGUGCCAGGAAGCCCCAGGUUCCCUGAACAAGGGCCAUUUCUAAAAACACCUGCUAACACAGGGGUGCUGGUUCCUUUUUGAAAGCCCACUUGCUGGGGUGGGGCCAUACCUCCCACUGAGGUAGGCUAGAAAGGAGCCCUGAGACAGCUCAGCUUAAGCCAUGGCCUCUGUACGCAUCUCAACACUGGUGAUUCUCUUCACACUGGGGACUUUGAGCCUCGCUAAGACCACCCAGCCCAUCUUCAGUGACUCAUAUGAAGGACAAGAGGUGAACAUAACCUGUAACCACACCGACAUUGCUACAAAUGAGUACAUCCUCUGGUACCGACAGUUCCCCAACCAGGGACCACAAUUUGUUAUUCAAGGUUUUAACACAAAAGUGGAAAAUGAAGUGGCAUCUCUGUUCAUCCCUGACGACAGGAAGUCCAGCACCCUGAGCCUGCCCCAGGCUACCCUGAGAGACACCGCUGUGUACUACUGCAUCGUGAGUGACACACAGUGA